UACGUAGGCGGAAGAUUAAGUCAGUGGUGAAAUCCUGCAGCUUAACUGUAGAACUGUCAUUGAUACUGGUUUUCUUGAAUUUAGUUGAGGUAGGCGGAAUGUGUAAUGUAGCGGUGAAAUGCUUAGAUAUUACACAGAACACCGGUUGCGAAGGCAGCUUACUAAACUAUGAUUGACGCUGAGGUACGAAAGCGUGGGGAGCGAACAGGAUUAGAUACCCUGGUAGUCC
rnacentral:rRNA from 1 species